AAGGCUAAAUACUCCUGACUGACCGAUAGUGAACCAGUACCGUGAGGGAAAGGCGAAAAGAACCCCGGCGAGGGGAGUGAAAAAGAACCUGAAACCGUGUACGUACAAGCAGUGGGAGCCCCACCACCAAAGCAUUCUCUGGUGUUGAAGGCCCUGCAAAGCAGCAUCGCGGUGGCGGAGCGUCGUUUGCGACGCCCAACACAAAAAACAAGCGGUGAGUGCUUUGGGGUGGGGUGACUGCGUACCUUUUGUAUAAUGGGUCAGCGACUUAUAUUCUGUAGCAAGGUUAACCGAAUAGGGGAGCCGUAGGGAAACCGAGUCUUAACUGGGCGUUAAGUUGCAGGGUAUAGACCCGAAACCCGGUGAUCUAGCCAUGGGCAGGUUGAAGGUUGGGUAACACUAACUGGAGGACCGAACCGCCUAAUGUUGAAAAA
rnacentral:rRNA from 1 species